UGCAAGUCGAGGGGCAGCAUGGUCUUAGCUUGCUAAGGCCGAUGGCGACCGGCGCACGGGUGAGUAACACGUAUCCAACCUGCCGUCUACUCUUGGACAGCCUUCUGAAAGGAAGAUUAAUACAAGAUGGCAUCAUGAGUUCACAUGUUCACAUGAUUAAAGGUAUUCCGGUAGACGAUGGGGAUGCGUUCCAUUAGAUAGUAGGCGGGGUAACGGCCCACCUAGUCUUCGAUGGAUAGGGGUUCUGAGAGGAAGGUCCCCCACAUUGGAACUGAGACACGGUCCAAACUCCUACGGGAGGCAGCAGUGAGGAAUAUUGGUCAAUGGGCGCAGGCCUGAACCAGCCAAGUAGCGUGAAGGAUGACUGCCCUAUGGGUUGUAAACUUCUUUUAUAAAGGAAUAAAGUCGGGUAUGUAUACCCGUUUGCAUGUACUUUAUGAAUAAGGAUCGGCUAACUCCGUGCCAGCAGCCGCGGUAAUACGGAGGAUCCGAGCGUUAUCCGGAUUUAUUGGGUUUAAAGGGAGCGUAGAUGGAUGUUUAAGUCAGUUGUGAAAGUUUGCGGCUCAACCGUAAAAUUGCAGUUGAUACUGGAUAUCUUGAGUGCAGUUGAGGCAGGCGGAAUUCGUGGUGUAGCGGUGAAAUGCUUAGAUAUCACGAAGAACUCCGAUUGCGAAGGCAGCCUGCUAAGCUGCAACUGACAUUGAGGCUCGAAAGUGUGGGUAUCAAACAGGAUUAGAUACCCUGGUAGUCCACACGGUAAACGAUGAAUACUCGCUGUUUGCGAUAUACGGCAAGCGGCCAAGCGAAAGCGUUAAGUAUUCCACCUG
rnacentral:rRNA from 1 species